AUGACGAUGUGGGGCGUGAAUCUUGCUGGGAUUCUAUGCCGAUCUGUGGGAAGUAGCGGCGGCGGCAGAGGGGAAAACGAAUUUUAUAUACCCGAGGAGGACGGACGGAUGCCAUUCGAUGCCGGUCACCGUCGAUGUCGACACUCAGUGCUCGCCGGAAGUCGGGAACAGCGUCAGCUCCCGGCGCCCGCCGCCGCCUCCGCCGCCGCGGGACCCGAGCUCCAGCUCCUCGGCGAAAGACGACGGCGCCAUCAUCCCCAUCGCGGCCCCGCCGCCGACCAUGCGGUGGUGCAUCCCGGGCGGGCCGACUGGCGCGCCGCUGGCCACGGCGCGGCUCAGGAACCCGUGGUCGAAGCCGCCGCCUGGCCCGGCGCCGUAGUGGCCGAGCGGGCGCGCGGCGGGGUGGUGGAAGUGGCCGAUCUGCUGCGGGUGGUGGUGAUGGUGGUGCGCGGCGGGCAUGGCGGCGUAGGGGGUGUAGGGGUCGGCGACGGCCGGGCCGCGGCCGGGCGGGAGGAACGGGGAGGGCCCGGUGGCGAAGAGGUGCUCGGUGGCGGCGUCGGUCCCGGAGCCGGAGGAGUGGCUGCCUCCCCCGCCGCCGCCGCCGCCGUUGCCGAGCCCCUGCAUGCGCUUGAGGUAGAGGCGGUACUUCUGGAGGUGGGACGCGACGUUCUCGCGCGUGAGGCCGUCCACGCUCAUCAGCUGCAUUAUGGUCUUGGGCACGGCGUUCUUGAUGCCGAGGUGCGCCACGGCGUCGACGAAGCGCUUGUGCAGCUGCGGCGUCCACACGAGGCGCGGCCGCUUGAGGGUCCUGGCCGGCUCCUCCCCGUUGCCGCCCCCGUUGCCGCCGCUGGAGCCGGCGGCCGACGACGCGCCGCCGUUCAUCUCCUGGCCGCCCGCGCCGCCGGCCCCGUCGGCGCCGCCGCUGAGCGGGCCGCCCCCGCCGUGCGUGGGGAUGUCGAAGGCGGCGGCGAGAUCGCGGGUGAUGAGCGACUGCGAGAGCGGCAUGAGCUCGUCCGGCGCCGGCAGGUCCUCGUCGAAGCGCGCGAACCAGCUGGGCUCCUCCUCCUCCCUCAUCCUCCCGGGCCGGAGCAGGGCGGAGCAGAGCAAUUCGCCUCCUUGCCCGCGGUAGCAAGCCGCAGUCCUCCGCUGGCAGGAGCAAGCGAGAGAGCACGGGAGGAGAGGAGAGGAGAGGAGAGCGGGGGAAGGGAGGAAGGAGAUGAUGGGGAGGGAGGGAGGGGGUUACUUCGAGGUGGAUCUCUCUUCUUCUAA
rnacentral:rRNA from 1 species